rnacentral:pre_miRNA from 1 species
GGUUGGUUGAGUGAACUUGACAUCUAUAUUGGUAGGAACCAUGCCUGGAACAAGGCAAAACAACUACCCAAAGUGGGUAUUCUCUUUGCCUUGUUUCAGUCAUGGUUUCUACUGGUGCUUGUCGUUGAUCACUGUCUUUAUC